rnacentral:rRNA from 1 species
AUACAGGGGGUGCGAGCGUUAAUCGGAAUUACAGGGCGUAAAGAGUACGUAGGCGGUUGCAUAAGUCAGAUGUGAAAGCCCCGGGCUCAACCUGGGAACUGCAUUUGAAACUGAGUGACUAGAGUUUAAGAGAGGGGAGUAGAAUUCCGGGUGUAGCGGUGAAAUGCGUAGAGAUCCGGAGGAAUACCAGUGGCGAAGGCGGCUCCCUGGCUUAAAACUGACGCUGAGGUACGAAAGCGUGGGUAGCAAACAGGAUUAGAAACCCUAGUAGUCC